UUAGCUCAGUCGUUAGAGCACCAGACUCUCAAUCUGUCUUUCGCGGGUUCGAGCCCCGCA
rnacentral:tRNA from 1 species